CAGCAGCCGCGGUAAUACCGGCGGCCCGAGUGGCGGUCACUAUUAUUGGGCUUAAAGCGUCCGUAGCCGGGUUGGGAAGUCCUCCGGGAAAUCUGGCCGCUUAACGGUCAGAAUGCCGGAGGAUACUCCCAGCCUAGGGAGCGGGAGAGGCCGAGGGGAUUCCCGGAGUAGGGGGGAAAUCCUAUAAUCCCGGGAGGACCACCUGUGGCGAAGGCGCUCGGCUGGAACGCGUCCGACGGUGAGGGACGAAGGCCAGGGGAGCAAACCGGAUUAGAUACCCGGGUAGUCCUGGCUGUAAAGGAUGCGGGCUAGGUGUCGGGUGAGCUUCGGGCUCGCCCGGUGCCGUAGGGAAGCCGUUAAGCCCGCCGCCUGGGGAGUACGGCCGCAAGGCUGAAACUUAAAGGAAUUGGCGGG
rnacentral:rRNA from 1 species